GGUGGGGAUUCAAACCCUGCUCUCCCAGGGCCUAGUCCAACACUCUAACCAUUAUGCCACACUGGCUUCUACUUUAACACUGAGCUCCGGUUCUUCUCCAAAUACGGACAAUAAGGAAACAAUGAAAGCAGCAUAGCAAUAAUAUCCAUACUGUGGCAGAUCUCCGGGGCUGGUGUACAAAUUCCGUCAUCAACCUCUAUGUCUCCGGUUUCUGCUGGAAGGACUUUUGCCCUUCUUUCCAGAUCAUGCAUUCCAACUCCUCCAUUUCCUUAUUCUGCACAAUUUCCUUAGCCUAUGAAACAUGGGAAGUCACGCAACCCCAACUUCUGGCUUGGUUUGGCUCAUGCAAUGCAUAUGGCCUUUUACCAGAAGCAUAACUCUGGUCUUGUGGUGGGACGUUUAUCAAUGCUGUUGGCUGCAGCAGCUGAAAAGUGCUCCUCCAGAUGACCUGUUUAUUGAUCCUUUAUCUUGAUUCGCUUACAUAAAGUUUAUGCAGUGUUUAGAUGCUGCUGCUGAAGAUUUAUAUACUGCUCCUAUUUAAACAAAACUCUCAAGUUUUCAAUCUAAGUUAGAAUAAACAGCAAGGGAAAAAAACCAAAUAAUUUUUUACAUUCUGUAAAACACAAUUAACAACUAAAUAGAUCAUCCUUUUUAGUAUCCAAAUUAACAUUACACAUAAAAAUCAGCUCCAAAAAUUCAGUGAAAUGUACCCAGUCUUAACUGAGCAUCCAACCCCAGUUUCUUUGCAGGGAGGCUAUAAAACAAGCAUUCAUCCUGAUUUUUCUUGUGUGGUGUUUAUACAUCUUCCCAUUUGUUCACCCCACACUUUUCAGUGUGUUUCCUCCGUACUUUCUUAACUACAACAGUGUUUUUAUUCCCAGCUUUUCUUUUAAUUAAAAAUGGGUUUGUUAUGUUAGGGUGCCAUGGCAAUUUAAUCCACUUUAGUUAUAAAAACCUAAAUUUCUGGCAAGCAUUUGAUUCCUUCCCACAAAAAUAGUGGCAGUCAAGAGGUGCUCAUUGUCACGUCUUGAACUUCCAGCCACAGCAUUUGUUCAAGGACCUUCAAACCUGACAAAUUAGGGGAGUUUGCAUCCCAUAUCCUGUUUCAACCUCUAGGUCAGAGGGCCUGUUCUGUCGUUAUCCAUAACUGAGCCCUGACCACAAUUAACUGCCUUCUGUCCGGUUCCCAACUAUAGCCAAUCAGCAACAAUACUGCUGGACCUGGUUUGGAUAGAAAGUAGAAUGAAAGAGUAUUGAAAUAAAUGUAAGGUUUGAUUUUUAAAAUGUGGAACAAAGAGUGACCUAAGCUUCGGGAUUUUUUAAACAAGGACUCCUGCAGAUUUUCUGGCUGUUGCAUGUCUAGGACAUUUCUGACAUUGCUUGAAUAUUAAACAGCCAUAAUAGUAACUUCCCUUCUACACCCAUGGCAUGGCUUCUGCAAAUGAGGUGUUCCUUAAUAUGAGCCUGCUCUUGCAAAUAAAUUGCACAUUAAAUGCAGUGUGAAGUUUGUGCUAUAAGCAUGGUAAAUGCAGCAGGCAAAAGGAGAGCUUAAAAUAAUACACAUUAUUACUUUCACAGCAGCUACGUCGGCUUUUUAAAAAUGCCAUUCAGACUUGAGAAAUGAUUUGAUUUUACUGGUGUAUAUAAACACAUCAGUGGCUUACUUAGGUUCAUCCAUAAAUAAGAUGUGAUGUGGUUAGCACAAGAAAGUACUAGCUUCUGAGAACAUGCAGCCCUUAGCUAUUAACAGUGUGAUAUUCCGAAAGAGCUGCUGAACUUCUUUGAUUAUGCACUGCCAAAAAGCCACUGUGCACUUCAUGUGUUUGAGAGGAAAUAGCAAUUACUGGUCAUUGGCAUGCUGCUGAGAAGUAGUGCCCCCUUAAAUCAAACAUGCAUAAUACAGGGUAGCUGCUGGUAGCACCUACAUUUUUAAAAUUAGCUCCAUGUUCAUAGAGCAUGAAAAAAGAGGAAGGUGUACAUUUGCACAGUGAGCCUCUGUAGGCUUCAGGCAUGGAAUAUGCAGCGAACCUAUUGUAGUAUUCUAGGCAAACACUUGAGUACCUUAAUUGGCAAUUAUUGCACUUCAGAACAUUACUGGCUUUUCCCUCAUGAAGCCGCUGAAGUGUUAUGGCAUUCUAGCCUCGCUUCCUCCAGAUGAAACAACCUUCCUUGGGCUCAUUGAGGCAUCCCAUUGUGUCACCUACCUAUUCCACUGCUAUUCUCGCUUCCACAUGGAUUCCCAGAGUUUUGUGUAACCAAACUGCUGGCGACAUCUGUCUUUUGUGAGCCAAAGUCCCAUAUGCAAAUGUAGCCGUUCUAAAGAGGUUUUACAAUAGAAAUGAUGGAUUUAGGAGGAAGACUUCAAUAAUGACUAAACAACAAUGUUAUCAGUUCAGAAACAGGCAUGUUGUGCAUUGUGUGGGCAACUAGCUGCGGAGUUCAAUGGUUGACACCCGUCUUCCUUUGGGUGGGGUACAAGGGCUGGAUCCACUGCCACACGUUCACACCCAUCUCAGGCAAGUUGAUUCAGUGAUUGUCUCUUGGGCCCCACAACCAGUUUUUGAGCAAUGUUUGCAGCUGGGUGCACAGAUCCAGUGCUGGAAAUGAUGUUCACAUCACAUUUUUGUAUGCCAGUCAACCUUACGGGAGCGGGAUAAUGGUUUCAGCAUUUCUGUAUCAAGCCUAACAGUUUCAGAAUUAAGAGUAUUGUGGAAAUAAUGCAGCACACUCAUUACAAGAUAAUUUGGAUGAGCUAUAAUUAAAAAAAUACAAAUUAUUUUAAUUGCAUGCACUUAAAAUAUGUGGCCUUCAGGGCCAGGAUUAUUUCUGGCAUGGGCCUCCAUGGUGAAAAAUAUAAUGGCCCAACCCUGCUUGGAAAGCAAUCAACCUGAUCUACUUUCAGAAAAAGGGGAGAGGUAGUCCAGCUCUCUAAGGGACGCGGGUAGCGCUGUGGGUUAAACCACAGAGCCUAGGACUUGCCGAUCAGAAGGUUGGCGGUUCGAAUCCCCGUGACGGGGUGAGCUCCCGUUGCUCAGUCCCUGCUCCUGCCAACCUAGCAGUUUGAAAGCAUGUCAAAAUGCAAGUACAUAAAUAGCGGGAAGGUAAAUGGCGUUUCCGUGCACUGCUCUGGUUCGCCAGAAGCGGCUUAGUCAUGCUGGCCACAUGACCCGGAAGCUGUACACCGGCUCCCUCGGCCAAUAAAGCGAGAUGAGUGCUGCUACCCCAGAGUCGGUCACGACUGGACCUAAUGGUCAGGGGUCCCUUCACCUUUACCUAGUCCAGCUCUCUAUCACCUCAAGCUGUGGGUGUCUCUAUCUCUGUGGGUGUAUUAGAGGCAAACUGGCACAGUACAGUGGUACCUCGGGUUACAGACGCUUCAGGUUACAGAAUCUGCUAACCCAUAAAUAGUACCUCAGGUUAAGAACUUUGCUUCAGGAUGAGAACAGAAAUCACAUGGCAGUGGCACAGCAGGAGCAGGAGGCCCCAUUAGCUAAAGUAGUAGGUUAAGAACAGUUUCAGGUUAAGAACGGACCUCCAGAAUGAAUUAAGUUCUUAACCUGGGGCACCAUUGUACAGCCUUUAUGAUUUUAUAUCUGGUGCCAUCCUGAUGUUUUGGACUACAGCACCCAUCAGACCCAGGCAGCUUGACUGUUGGCUAUGAAUGAUGGGACCUGCAGUCCAGAAACAUCUAAAGAGAAUCAGGUUUGACUACAGCCUUGAAUUCAUGACUGGUGUAGUCAAUUUGGGACACCUUUAUUCAAGUUCCUCCUUUGCCAUUGACUCAUAGUAUUCUAGUCACCAGUUUUCAGUUUUGGGCCCCCAUCUUUCAAACUGAAAUGUAAGGGCAUUGGCAUGUUAUGAUACAUAGCAGUAAGGUAUGGUAGUAAACAUCACUAAGUGUCACAGAGAUACAGGGAUAUCUGUAGAGCCUUAUACUCUACUGACGGAGCUAUCCAUACCUUUCUCUUUGCGCUGCUGCACACCUUGUAAAUCUGUUUUGGAGGAUUGGGUUCCUACCCAGAACAGAUUUAGGGGGCGAGGAGAGUGGGGAAGUUUGAUUGUGCUUCAUGUGUUUGAGGGAAAACGAUUUGGUUGGAUGCAAUUUACAGGUUUUGCUCAUUCCUACUGAAUGAGGAAAAUACAUAAAUUCCAUGUGAAUUUCUCUUAGGGUAUUUGCAAUUGAAUUUAAGUGAUAAAUAAUGUCUUAAACUAGAGCAUAAUUACAUAAAACAGGCUUGUGGAACAUGAAAAUGCAGUACAGUUACUUUUGUCCUGGUGGCUUUUCCUUUGUGUUCUGUUUUAUGCAGACAUUACAAAGGAAAGAGUCAAGGAAGGGGGGGCAGGAGAGAUGAAAAGGGGAUUUUCAGAAUGAAAUGAGCAGAGUUUAUUCCUUGUCAGCAUUUUUUUUUUAAGUCUAAAAUUAUGUGUCAAUGGAAGUUAGUUGCAAUUUUAAGACACAAUCUUCUGGGAAGUCCUCUCUGCUGCAAUGAAAGGAAAAUCAUUCAUUUCAGUGAAAGUUGCCUUGCAGAACUUCCCAGAGGAAUGGGCCUUACCAUUUUAAAUCUAUUGCCAGGAAUUAUUUGUGCAUAUUAAAUCUCACUUUGACUUAAACAAAAAGUUCAUAAAAGUUUCCCUAGCAUGGUUCAAAUGAUAUGAACUUGGCCAGUAACUAAUUAACUAAAUUUCCACCUUUAUGCUUUCUGCUCAGGAGUUUUUAAUUGUGAAACCAUUUGUCUGUAAACAUUUUUCAGAAAUCUUCAGGAUGUUUGGUAGGGAAGACUAUCAGGAGGAAGAAAUGGACAUUAGUUUGGGGGUUACAGUUAAGGUGAUUGCAUUACUUGCUAACUGUUUUGCAACUUUGUUCCUUCCGAGUGGGAAAGAAACUGAAUUAAUAAAUAAUACAAGUUGGACCAAGGGCUAUUAUACUUUUUGCUCUCUUCUUCUUCUUCUUCUUCUUCUUCUUCUUCUUCUUCUUCUUUUCAAAUUUUAAGUGGUUUCUUGGCAGCUAAAGGCAUUUCUCUCCUGAGAAAUGGGCCCACAACCCUUCAGAGUUUUGCUACCUGGUGACCUAUCGCUAGGUAUGGGAAGAAAAUGGUGGCCCCCAUUCCCUAGGAACACUAGUACAAUAACAUGUAACUACAUAUCCAGGGGCUUUAGCAGACCUAUUAUCCUAGUGUGUGGCACCCACAAUGCCAAGGCCUCUGCCCUGAGCUGCACCUUCAUUUGAAGUACAGGCAGCGGCCUUCUUGUGUGUUCCCAAUUGAUGCGUGACCACUGAUGCUUGGGUUCUUUUAGACCCGAAAGAGGGCAUAACAGAGGCAUAACAGGGCAUAAUGAAGGCAGGGUGUAAUGGGAUGGAGCGGGAUUAGGUGCGCUCUGCCGACACACUGGGGGGCCAGGAAUGGAACCCCCACACAAAAUGGGCCUGUAUUACUGCUUUUCUUUGCUACUUUUCUGAAUUUGUAUAGGCUUAUACAUCCUGUGUACAAAAAAUAAAAUAAAAAUCUAGGUACAAAGCUUUUGGUGUGGGGGAGCUAAAAAAUGAAGCAGGGAAGACACCAGGCCUUGGACCAAUUAGUAACCAGAGCAGUUAGUAAAUAAUGCGGUUGCCUCAAGCUAGAGAACAUCUGUCCCCCCGACCCCAGAAUCUCCCAGGAUUUCUCUCCCACCUUCCAUGUGCGCCCCCCCCAAAAAAAAGUGGAAAGAGGGUUUUGUACAGCCUUGUUGAUAAUAAUGAUAAUAAUAUUUAUACCCACCCAUCUGGGCGGCUCCCAAUAGAAUAUUAAAGAGACUAUAAAACAUCAAACAUUAAAAACUUCCCUAAACAGGGCUGCAUUCAGAUGUUUUCUAAAAGUCAGGUAGUUGUUUAUUUCCUUGACAUCUGAUGGGAGGGGGUUCCAAAAAUGAACGUAUUUACUAAACAGUUAUAAAUGUUAUGUCCAAGGUGGCUACAAAAGGAAAAACCCUUAGUGUGUGCACUUUUUCUCUUAAAAAAGGAAUUUAACAUUAUGCUCCAGUUGAUGGCCUGGAAAAAUAUUUCUUCACUGUAACAUAAUGUUUUCUUCAGCUGUCACUGCUGAUCAGACAAAUGCUUGUUCUUCAUAAUAGCAUCGAAAUUAAAAUAUGCUUUGUUGUUAUAGUUACAUCUUGGGAUAUAUUUCUCUCUCUCUUUCAAAUCAACCCAGCUAGUGGAAACAGCUUAGAGUAUAUUGAGUGUACUCAGACAUUUAAUAAGAAAUGCGCUUUGGAAACCAUUUCUGCAGCAAGGGUUAUGUUGCUCAGGGAUGCUCGAGACAGAUUCGGGGUUUUUUGCGAAUUCCAAGUGGAAGUGAGUUGACCUGCACCUCUUUUAGACAAAUGGGUGGAUUGGAUUUUAGUUAUUGUCUGGCUUUUGCAGUUCUUGGUGCAGAAAACGUAUCAACAUGUUACAAAAUGCACAUCUUGAGGAAAAUAUGCUUUAAAAAGUUGCAUUUAAUUGCAUUUUAUGAGGAUUUUAAUAAUAAUAAUAAUCAUUGUGAUUAUUAUUUCACAGCAUUUGUACACUGCUUGAUUGCGAUAAAACUUCUAAGCAGUUUAUACACACACACAAAUCCACAAAGGAAACUUAAAAACAGGUAUUUAAAAACAUUCAAAAAUUAAUCAACAGUAAGCAAAAAGAGAUUGAAACACAUGAAACAUCUGCAUGCCUGGAUGGGCUUGCUGAAAGAAAAAUGUUAUAAGCAGGCACUGAAAACAGUACCAUAAAGGCAUCUUUCUGAUGUCACUAGGCAGAGUUGCAAUGUGUGUAGGUACAUUAAUGAUCCAUUUCUUACAUGUAUUGACUGAGUAUCAUGUGGCACCUGUAACAAUUGCAGUUCUGCAAGUCCAACUAGUUAAGUAGGCAUAUAUAGUGAGCCCACAUUUAAAAAAUAAUAAUAGUAUUUUUAAAGCAACACUUCAUGG
rnacentral:lncRNA from 1 species